AGAUUGAACGCUGGCGGCAGGCCUAACACAUGCAAGUCGAGCGGUAGAGAGGUGCUUGCACCUCUUGAGAGCGGCGGACGGGUGAGUAAUGCCUAGGAAUCUGCCUAGUGGUGGGGGAUAACGUUCGGAAACGGACGCUAAUACCGCAUACGUCCUACGGGAGAAAGCGGGGACCUUCGGGCCUCGCGCCAUUAGAUGAGCCUAGGUCGGAUUAGCUAGUUGGUGAGGUAAUGGCUCACCAAGGCGACGAUCCGUAACUGGUCUGAGAGGAUGAUCAGUCACACUAGGAACUGAAGACGACGGUCCAGACCUCCGUACGGGAGGCAGCGAGGUGGGAAAUAGGUGGAACAAGUCGGGACGAAAGCCUAGACU
rnacentral:rRNA from 1 species